AUUGAACGCUGGCGGCAGGCCUAACACAUGCAAGUCGAGCGAGCGGCGGACGGGUGCGUAAUUUCUGGGGAUCUGCCCGAUCGAGGGGGAUAACUACUGGAAACGGUGGCUAAUACCGCAUACUAUCGUUUGAACCCCGAUGGGAUUAGCUACUAGGUGGGGUAAAGGCUCACAUAGGCGACGAUCUCUAGCUGGGCUGAGAGGAUGAUCAGCCACACUGGGACUGAGACACGGCCCAGACUCCUACGGGAGGCAGCAGUGGGGAAUAUUGCACAAUGGGCGAAAGCCUGAUGCAGCCAUGCCGCGUGUAUGAAGAAGGCCCUAGGGUUGUAAAGCACUUUCAGUCGGGAGGCGUUACCGAAAGAAGAAGCACCGGCUAACUCCGUGCCAGCAGCCGCGGUAAUAC
rnacentral:rRNA from 1 species